rnacentral:rRNA from 1 species
UACGGAGGGGGCUAGCGUUGUUCGGAAUUACUGGGCGUAAAGCGCACGUAGGCGGCUUUGUAAGUUAGAGGUGAAAGCCCAGGGCUUAACCCUGGAAUUGCCUUUAAGACUGCAUCGCUAGAAUUGUGGAGAGGUAAGUGGAAUUCCGAGUGUAGAGGUGAAAUUCGUAGAUAUUCGGAAGAACACCAGUAGCGAAGGCGGCACUCUGGGCCGGUACUGACGCUGAGGAGCGAAAGCGUGGGGAGCGAACAGG